GGUUCCGUGGUGUAAUGGUUAGCACUCUGGACUCUGAAUCUAGCGAUCCGAGUUCAAAUCUCGGUGGGACCU
rnacentral:tRNA from 1 species